AAUGAACGCUGGUGGCAGGCCUAACACAUGCAAGUCGAACGGAUCCUUCGGGAUUAGUGGCGGACGGGUGAGUAACGCGUGGGAACAUACCCUUUGGUACGGAAUAGCCUCGGGAAACUGGGAGUAAUACCGUAUGUGGUCGAGAGACGAAAGAUUUAUCGGCAAAGGAUUGGCCCGCGUUGGAUUAGGUAGUUGGGGGGUAAUGGCCUACCAAGCCGACGAUCCAUAGCUGGUUUGAGAGGAUGAUCAGCCACACUGGGACUGAGACACGGCCCAGACUCCUACGGGAGGCAGCAGUGGGGAAUCUUAGACAAUGGGGGAAACCCUGAUCUAGCCAUGCCGCGUGAUCGAUGAAGGCCUUAGGGUUGUAAAGAUCUUUCAGGUGGGAAGAUAAUGACUGUACCACCAGAAGAAGCCCCGGCUAACUCCGUGCCAGCAGCCGCAGUAA
rnacentral:rRNA from 1 species